UUCAUGGAAAUUCUAUUUGGACACUGAAGCUGGUGUAGACCUGGCAGGGAUUCUACACCACAGUGAUUUCCAUGUGGAGGUUACCAAUCCGAGGAGUGGGAAGAGGCACUAAUAGAGGAAUGGUGAUCUGGAUCUCAGCUCAAGUUCAAAGGCUUUGAUCAAAGGACGCAGAACUUUCUGCAACUUUCCCCUGAGAACCUGAGGACACUGUGAACCUUCAGCACCUAGAAGUUUGAGUGUACUCCAGGGCCUGAGACUUGUCAGACUGGCGAUACUCUCUGCUAUGUGACCUUCAACUUGCCGCCUCACAUGUGCUUCACGUGCGAGAUGAAUCAACAACAGUACCAACUGCUGGAGUGUUUCACGGUGACAGGGGUUGAUGCUUGUAGAUCAUUCUACGGAGACCAUUCCACCCAGCAGGUAGCACUUUACUGGUGAAGGUUGCCAGGCAGAUUUGUCCAGGAAGCAGGCCAUGACUUGCAUCUCUAAGGCCACCCCCUGCACUAAGCUGAUUGUUCCAGAGGCUGAGGCCUGGUUGAAGAGCCCUCGGAUAGAUGAGCCAGGAUCAACCACGGGUCCUGCUGGGAAAGUCUCCUCCUGUAUGAUGGCCAAUUCCAAAUGUUCUCAUCUUGUCACAGGAAUUCUUCUCGCCCUCAUUCCUGCCUCAUGAUCCUCCUUCUGAUUUUAGUGAGAACAAGGAAACAACUGGGAAAGAACUGGCUCAUUCUCCCACAAUGCACCUGUGCCCCUCUGCUCUGCCCUCUUCCUGCUCCCCAGCAGGGACAGGACCUGCUCACCUGGGUGCUGGGACUGGUGUCCUGUUGACACUCUGGAACACCAUUUCUGGUUCCCCUGUGUCAAAAUGUCCCAUUGUAAUUAAUCUCUCCAUCUUAACACAACCAAUCCCCACCCCUGCAGCCGCCACCUCCCUCCUGCUGUCCCUUUACAGACCCACUUCCUUGCCUCUGUGUCCCUCCAGCCAGGUAUCUGUCCCCAUCAUUCUGUUGAAGCUGUUCUUGUCAAAGUCACUGCUAAUUUCCUUGUCACCAAACACAGUGGCUAAUUUUCUGUCUUCACCUUACUCAAACUAUCGGAAACACAUCACCUCAUUGAUGACUCUCUUCUCCGAAAACUGUCUUCCUUUAGCCUCUUCAGUGUGGGAAACAGAUAAUAACAAGUAGCUUUUUAAUACAAUGUCAGCUUCAUUACGUGAGGGACUUUAUUCUGGUUAUAGUCUCAUCUCCAGACAUCUAGAAUGGUAUCUGUGACGUAUAAGAUAUACGGUAGAUAUGUGUUGAAUGGAUGAAUCUAGACCAGGGGUCGGCAAAGCACAGCCCAUAGGCCCAAUCUGGCCCACUGCCUGUUUUGUAAAUAAAGCUUUAUUGGAACACAGCCAUCCUCAUUAGUUCACGGAUUACCUAAGGCUGCUUUCACAGCAGAAUGGAAUAGUUGUGAAACAGACUGCCCCACAAAGCCAAAAAUAUUUACUAUCUGGUCUUUUACAGAAAGGGUUGUCUAGCCCCUGGCUUUAAGAUUAACUUCCACUCGGUACUGGGUAUGUGCGUCUCUCCCUGACCCCCACAUGAUCAAUUAAGGUCACAGCACUCUCUCCAGUUCCUGAGCUCCCCGUUCCAUGUGCCUGGAUACUGUAACAGUUUGAAAGCUCACUUUGAACAUAGUGUUCAAUCUGGUUUGCGUUCAGCAUGCUUCCAUUUGGGAAUAUCUUGAAGAUUUAACUUCAAGUCCUUGAACACACAAGGAACAAAUUGUGCGUGUGGUGCACAGUUAAUGGUUUUACUGAAUACUCCAUAUGGUAAUAAUAAUAGUGGUUACCUUCCAACAAUUGCUUGGAAGGGUGCCAGGCACCACACUAAGUUUCUUGUGUCUCUAAGCAUUUUGCUUUAUCUUUUAAUCCUUUCCACAACCAUGUGAUGGAUGAAGCAGUAUUAUUAUAGUUGUCCCUUGGUAUGUGCUGGAGGUUGGUUCCAAGAUACAGCUCCCCACUCCCCUCAAAGCUAAGGAUACUCGAGUCCCUUAUAAGAAAUGGUGUAGUUUUUGCACAUAAUCUAUACGCAUCCUUCCUAUACUUUAGAUCAUCUCUAGAUGACUUGCAGUACCCAGCACAAUGCAAAUGCUAUGUAAAUAGUUAUUGUACGGUAUUGUUUAGGAAGUGAUGACAAGAAAAUCUGUACAUCUUCAGUACAGAUGCAAUUUGCUUCCAAAUAUUUUUGAUCCAUGAUUGGUUGAAUCCCAUGGAUAUAGAGGGCCUAGCAUAGUUCCAUUUUAUGGAUGAAGAAACUCAGGUUAGAGAAGCUGCUGAGCUGUUACAAAAGUAGCCUACCCAAGAGGAACUAGAAAAUGACUCCUCAGAUUCGUGUUGUCUAACACUGAGAUGUUCUCAGGACCACACACCAAGUCUCCUAGUUGGUGGUGAAACUUACACUUCUGGGUCCUUGGGUCCAUAAUCAUCAGGAGCUGCAGCUCAGCACAACCCUCUGAAUUAGUCUCCAGUUGACAAGCAGGGUAAUUCAGCGUUCAGUUCCAUCUGCUUCUUGCCUUACCUCAGAUUGAUUUUACCUUAUUAAUUUGUUUUUGUUAGUGACAACUGAGGCAGAGGGAUACCUUUCUGAAAAAGCCACUCAGAGCCUAAAACAUUUUCCUUUUAUUACAUGUCAAAAUUUGCUUCUAGGAAAAGACACUUCUGCCCAGAAACAGGAAAGGAUUGUCAAGGUGCUAUUUUCCAUUCUGUAAUUUGUUUUAAUGGCUGUCUUCUCUCUGCAUCAAGUGCCUGCUAAGACAACUUUAUGGCUUUUAUUUUUAAGUAAAAAUUCUCGUCAUUUUUGU